AGUGAACGCUGGCGGUAGGCCUAACACAUGCAAGUCGAACGGCAGCACAGUAAGAGCUUGCUCUUACGGGUGGCGAGUGGCGGACGGGUGAGGAAUACAUCGGAAUCUACUUUUUCGUGGGGGAUAACGUAGGGAAACUUACGCUAAUACCGCAUACGACCUACGGGUGAAAGCAGGGGAUCUUCGGACCUUGCGCGAUUGAAUGAGCCGAUGUCGGAUUAGCUAGUUGGCGGGGUAAAGGCCCACCAAGGCGACGAUCCGUAGCUGGUCUGAGAGGAUGAUCAGCCACACUGGAACUGAGACACGGUCCAGACUCCUACGGGAGGCAGCAGUGGGGAAUAUUGGACAAAGGGCGCAAGCCUGAUCCAGCAAUGCCGCGUGGGUGAAGAAGGCCUUCGGGUUGUAAAGCCCUUUUGUUGGGAAAGAAAAGCAGCAGGUUAAUACCCCGCUGUUCUGACGGUACCCAAAGAAUAAGCACCGGCUAACUUCGUG
rnacentral:rRNA from 1 species